ACCGAAAUAGCUCAGUUGAAAGAGAGUUAGACUAUAGAUCGAAAAGUACCUGGUUCGAUCCCGGGUUCCGGCA
rnacentral:tRNA from 1 species